GGGUAGCCAUUCCAGCUUUGAUCUGGAAGUUCCAACCCCCAUUGAGACUUCGGCAACUGUCACGCCUACAAGGCGGGGCGAAAGGAGGCGCCUGGGGACCUGAGAUCUGGAUCGGCGGGCUCUCUCUCUCUCUCUCUGUUGCGGGACCCUGGACUAGAGAGGUGUACCAAGCAGAGCUCCAGAGAACACCGCUGGACUGCGAUACACCUUCCCCAGACUCCGUGACCUACCUAUCCCUUAAUUUAUUAUCCUGAUUAAUACACUUCUUUAAUUUGGGAUAACAACUGAAGAAAUCACCAGUUGCUAAGGUAUCAAUUUCAUCCCAUCCUUGGACAUGAUCCAGCUUUGAUUCCCGUCAUAACCCUCAUUUUACAUGGUUGUUUCUCUGUUGAUAUUUCACCAGAACAGAAGUUGCCAAGUGACCUUUACUUUACCUUUUGCUAAGUUAUGCUCAUAUUACUAUAAUGUGAUACUUGGUGAAUAAUAGGAUGGAUUUUCUUUCCUGCAGCCUCUGAGAAUCAGGCCAUGAAUGGAUCCCUGAAAAAUGGAUUCACCUCUGCUGUUCUACCUAGAAACUGAGAGAGUUAUUGGCAAGGGGAAAGAGCCUGCGUGAAUGUCUCAGCAUACACCCUCACAGAGAAGUGCAGAGGGGGCUGGACACACAGAAAAGACUGAGCCUGCCAGUUUAGGAGCUAUCUCCUCCUGGUAUUUCUCUCAAUGCUUUAAGUGAGGCACCCUCUGUGGGGUAGGAAAUUGAAUUGCAAUUUGCUGAACACAAGAGAUCUCUGUAGAUUCAUAAUAUAGAAGCAAUUCAAAAUGCUGGCAUGGGCCUUACAUUUUUAGGAAUAUCACAAGGAUUUUGAACAAGCAAAACUGAAAAUAUAGAAUAUUGAAACAUUUUCUUUCCUACAUGAAUUUAUUUUGAAAUCCUUUCCAAUCCCUCCCUCCAUCCCCGGAGCACACAGUUAUUGUGAGCUUCUAUAUACAGAAAGAAGUUCUAUAUGCCAAGGGUCCAAUGGUGAUGAGGAUCACUGUGCCCAUGGAGCUCAUGUUAAAAGAGAGGGUGACAUGUUAGGCAGUAACCAGUUCUACAAAGAUAGGUAAAUCACAUGAGGUUGUGAGAGUAUACCACAGUUCACCAGAGUGAACUAAAAGAUCAAAGAGAUUCUCCCUGACUGUGGUUGUAGGACAGAGACUAUAAAAAGAAGAGGUUGAGUCUUAACUCAAUUUUCUUUAAAUAAAAGCUUGAAAAUAUUUAGUAGUAUGGAGAUCCACUAGAACUGUCUGGGAAGAUGGAGGGUAUAGGUGAACAAGUGAUUGGGUCAUUUAUGCUUAUUGAUUACCUCGUAUCAAUGUCCGGCUUCUUUCUUUCACUUGAGACAGUAAUGACUUUCUUGAGAUCCUUGAGAAACACAUUCCUGGAUCUUGAAACUUAAAAAAGACUGUCAUAUUUAAGUCUAAAACUGGGUGAAGAAAAAAAUACCUAGUAGCAGUUUUUCUAUAGUAAAUGCUCUAAAGGAGGAAAGUCAUGGACCUAUAACAAUAAAGAGGCUGUUCUGAAGUUUGGUCAAACUGAUCUGAUGGGAAGUUAAGAACAUCUUCAUCAAAGAAGGCAAGGAUUGAAAUGAGAGUUGAGAACAGAUUCUCAGCAGACUCACUGUGAGAUCACUUCAGAACAACAGGCUUGCACUUGGAGCAGCAGGUUGAAAACACCAGUAGGGCUCCAGGGAAAUGACCAAAGAGGGGCUGGGUUGGAGGUGAGGCCUCUGAGUUUGGAAAAGGUGAGGCUAAGGAAAACCCCAUGGAAGACAAUUGCACCUUAUUCUGAGAGUCUUGGGUUUAAUCAACAGAAUUCAAACAAUGUACAUUCCAAAGGAAUUUUUGGGAUAUUGUGUUGAGAAAUUAGUUCAUGGUUUGGAGAGCAGAAGCAGAGGGAAUAUUAUGGAAGCUAUUUGGAUAAUCUUAUCAUGAUAUUUUAUGUAUAAGAAGUCAUGUAUACAUUAUUAAAGAAUGAACAUUAUGAUAAAAAUAGAAGUGAAAAGACUGAAAAUUAUGGUUUGAAUAAAUAAGUAAAUGAUGGUAUCACCAAUAAUUGCAAAAUUCUGAGCAAAGGAACAUGUUUGGAAGUUUGAGAGUGUUAUAAAGACAUCAAUGCUGAAUAAGUGUUUGUCAAGUGGUGUCUGGCCUAGGUAAUUGCAUAUAAAGUACCCAAUCAUUUAACACUGGGGUUAUGGGUUAUAGCUUGAUAAAUGUGUGGCUGAGUAUUUACACAAACCUAUACUGUACACACUAAUCAUACCAUUAUUUUACAGUAAAUUUUGUAAAUAGAAGAAAUGUACUCUGACAUUUAUGUGUGUGUAGGUGUGUAUACAUAUAUGUAUACAUAAUAAAUGUAUAAACAAGGUAUACAUAAUAUGUACAUAUAUAUUAAAUGCAUAUGCAAUAUUUAUAUAUAUAUAUAUAUAUCAAAUGCAUAGACAAAGUAACCAUGUCAUUGUUGUCAGUAUUAACAUUAUUAAAUAUUAUAUAUUGUAUAUAAUCAUGUUAUACUUUGAUACAACAAACUGCUAAAGUUUGCUUAAAUCAGUUCAUCACAAACACAGGAAGAAAGCAUUGUUAAACAGCUAAACCAUCAUUAGCUGACAGGAAUCUUUCAGCUGUUGCUAAUCUUAUGGGAUCAUCAUCAUGGCUGGGAUACCUUGUUGACUGAGAUGUAGAGUGAUGCAUAACAAUAUUGCCCCGAAGCUCAAGGGAGAUGCACAAGAGAGAAAGACGACUUGGGAGUCACUGGAGUGGAGCUGGUACUUAGAGCCUGUUUGCAUGUUAUCUAGAGUGUGAAGAUGACAGGAGGCAUGUCUCUCAUAUUUCUCAUUUAAAAAGUCUCUACAUACCAAAUUAACCCAGUGCUCUUAAGAUUACUGGAAUUAAUAAUUACAUUCUCGUUUAGUGGGACUUUACUUAUGGUUGAAGUGGGCUGAUUAAAAAAUGAGAGGAGAAAGCAUAGGUGUUGGCUUUUUUUUUUUUAAACAAUAUAUUUGAGAUUUUAAAAAUAAAGCUAUUAGUAACUGGAAAAUACAGAAUUUUGUUUGGCUUUCUAAAUUUAUUGAGAUAUAAAAAUUUUAAAAUAUGUACAAACCCAGAAUAGAAGACAUGUUUCUUAAUUUUACAUUUACUGCCUUUACUAGGCCUUGACCUAGAAACUUCUGACUGCUGAGGAUACUGUACAUUAGUAGUACACAUACAUACAUACAUACAUACAUACAUACAUACAUACAUGUGAGAAACAAAUGUCAGCUCACCCUGUUUAUUUAUGUGUUUUUAAUCUCUUCUAGCAUUAAAUAAAGUAAAAGAGACUAUGCAUAAAUGAAGAAUGUCACCACAUUAACUGGUAGCACUUUUUAAUUCUUUAUUAACUUUAAUCAGUGGUGGCUGAAACUCAAGAGAUUUCAAAAUCAAACAAGGUCAGAUGAGCUUCCAAACAGGACAUCUCCAGUUGCCAUCUGGUACUUUGUCUUAAGAUACUCAUUUAUUUUUAUGUUUUUUUUUUAAUAUGGAGAAGGCAUCAAAUGCAAGGUCAGAUAGGGAUAGUGAGGACACCCUGUGUGCUUGGCCUGGUUCUCAGUGCUAGGGUUAUAGUUGCUUAUAAAAAUAGGUGAAAAGCACUUGCUUUUAUGGCAGCAUAUAGAAGAUUCAUAAAAUAAGUAAGCACAACUUAUGCUGAUUGAUCAUAAGUGCUAUCGUUGAAGAUAAAGCAAGCUUGUGGGAACAAAAGUUCCGGGUUGGAGAUGCAGCUGCAAACACAUGAAAACAGGAUAAUUAGAGAAGUGUGUCUGAAGGGACCUUUGAAGAAAGAUGUGCAGGAAGAAACGGGAUUGGCUAUCUACUAAUAAGAGUGGGAAGAAGCAGAGAGAGAUGAAAAAAUUUAGGCUAAAGUGUAGUUAAUGUCUUUGAGGAACAACUUGGAAAUCCUUGUGUCUAGAGAUUAGACAGAUAGGGACUUCUGAAACCAGAGAAGUAAUAGGAGCAGAGUCACAUUUCAGAAGAAAUAUUCAUGAGGAUGAAGAGAUGCCUGUU